GAGUAUGACUCAAGUAGUAGAGUGUUUGCUUCACAAGCAUAAAGCUCUUGGCUCAAACCCUAGUGCUC
rnacentral:tRNA from 1 species